rnacentral:sRNA from 1 species
CCCUAGCCCUGAUGGCAGCGGCAUCCUUUUUAGUUUGCUUUUUUGCUAACAAAAAGAUACAGCGAACAGCAGGAAAUGGC